rnacentral:tRNA from 1 species
GAAAUAGCUCAGGGGUAGAGUGCAUGCUUAGGAUGCAAGAGGUCAUGGGUUCAAUCCCCACUACCUUCA